rnacentral:rRNA from 1 species
GACGAACGCUGGCGGCGUGCUUAACACAUGCAAGUCGAACGAUGAAGCCGGAGCUUGCUCUGGUGAAUUAGUGGCGAACGGGUGAGUAACACGUGAGUAACCUGCCCUUGACUCUGGGAUAACUGCGGGAAACUGUAGCUAAUACCGGAUACGACCCUCGGAGGCAUCUCCUGGGGGUGAAAAGAAUUUCGGUCAAGGAUGGACUCGGGGCCUAUCAGCUCGUUGGUGGGGUAAAGGCUCACCAAGGGGACGACGGGUAGCCGGCCUGAGAGGGUGACCGGCCACACUGGGACUGAGACACGGCCCAUACUCCUACGGGAGGCAGCAGGGGGGAAUAUUGCACAAUGGGGGCAAGCCUGAGGCAGCAACGCCGCGUGAGGGAUGACGGCCUUCGGGUUGUAAACCUCUUUUAGCAGGGAAGAAGCGAAAGUGACGGUACCUGCAGAAAAAGCACCGGCUAACUACGUGCCAGCAGCCGCCGUAA